rnacentral:rRNA from 1 species
ACCGGCGCACGGGUGAGUAACACGUAUCCAACCUGCCGUCUACUCUUGGACAGCCUUCUGAAAGGAAGAUUAAUACAAGAUGGCAUCAUGAGUCCGCAUGUUCACAUGAUUAAAGGUAUUCCGGUAGACGAUGGGGAUGCGUUCCAUUAGAUAGUAGGCGGGGUAACGGCCCACCUAGUCUUCGAUGGGUAAGGGUUCUGAGAGGAAGGUCCCCCACAUUGGAACUGAGACACGGUCCAAACUCCUACGGGAGGCAGCAUG